CUACGUGCCAGCAGCCGCGGUAAUACGUAGGUCCCGAGCGUUGUCCGGAUUUAUUGGGCGUAAAGCGAGCGCAGGCGGUUUGAUAAGUCUGAAGUUAAAGGCUGUGGCUCAACCAUAGUUCGCUUUGGAAACUGUCAAACUUGAGUGCAGAAGGGGAGAGUGGAAUUCCAUGUGUAGCGGUGAAAUGCGUAGAUAUAUGGAGGAACACCGGUGGCGAAAGCGGCUCUCUGGUCUGUAACUGACGCUCAUGUGCGAAAGCUAGGGGAGCAAACAGGAUUAGAUACCCUGGUAGUCCUAGCCGUAAACGAUGGACACUAGGUGUGGGGGAAUAUUUCUUCCGUGCCGCAGCUAACGCAUUAAGUGUCCCGCCUGGGGAGUACGGCCGCAAGGCUAAAACUCAAAGGAAUUGACGGGGGCCCGCACAAGCAGCGGAGCAUGUGGUUUAAUUCGAAGCAACGCGAAGAACCUUACCAGGGCU
rnacentral:rRNA from 1 species